rnacentral:rRNA from 1 species
UAGGGAAUCUUCGGCAAUGGGGGGAACCCUGACCGAGCAACGCCGCGUGAGUGAAGAAGGUUUUCGGAUCGUAAAGCUCUGUUGUUAAGGAAGAACGAGUGUGAGAAUGGAAAGUUCAUGCUGUGACGGUACUUAACCAGAAAGGGACGGCUAACUACGUGCCAGCAGCCGCGGUAAUACGUAGGUCCCGAGCGUUGUCCGGAUUUAUUGGGCGUAAAGCGAGCGCAGGAGGUUAGAAAAGUCUGAAGUGAAAGGCAGUGGCUCAACCAUUGUAGGCUUUGGAAACUGUUUAACUUGAGUGCAGAAGGGGAGAGUGGAAUUCCAUGUGUAGCGGUGAAAUGCGUAGAUAUAUGGAGGAACACCGGUGGCGAAAGCGGCUCUCUGGUCUGUAACUGACGCUGAGGCUCGAAAGCGUGGGGAGCGAACAGG